rnacentral:rRNA from 1 species
GUGAGGAAUAUUGCGCAAUGGAGGCAACUCUGACGCAGCCAUGCCGCGUGCAGGAAGAAGGCGCUACGCGUUGUAAACUGCUUUUAACCGGGAAGAAACCCCAGGACGUGUCCUGGGUUGACGGUACCGGAGGAAUAAGCACCGGCUAACUUCGUGCCAGCAGCCGCGGUAAUACGAAGGGUGCAAGCGUUAUCCGGAUUCAUUGGGUUUAAAGGGUGCGUAGGCGGAGCGUUAAGUCAGUGGUGAAAUCCUGCAGCUUAACUGUAGACUUGCCAUUGAUACUGGCGCUCUUGAGUGCGCUUGAAGUGGGCGGAAUGUGCCGUGUAGCGGUGAAAUGCUUAGAUAUGGCACAGAACACCAAUUGCGAAGGCAGCUCACUAAGGCGAUACUGACGCUGAGGCACGAAAGCGUGGGGAUCGAACAGGAUUAGAAACCCGGGCAGUCC